rnacentral:rRNA from 1 species
GGUCAAGUGAAUAAGUGCACAUGGUGGAUGCCUUGGCAGUCAGAGGCGAUGAAAGACGUGGUAGCCUGCGAAAAGCUUCGGGGAGGUGGCAAACAACCUUUGAUCCGGAGAUAUCUGAAUGGGGAGACCCACAUGGGGUCAAUGCCCAUGUAUCACAUACUGAAUACAUAGGUAUGUGAGGCGAACGGGGGGAAGUGAAACAUCUCAGUACCCCUAGGAAAAGAAAUCAACCGAGAUUCCCUGAGUAGCGGCGAGCGAACGGGGAAGAGCCUCUAAGUUUUAGCCUCAGCGUUAGUGGAAGCGUCUGGAAAGUCGCGCCAUAGUGGGUGAUAGCCCCGUACACGAA